GCUCGAGUUCCUGCCUCAGGCUGCUCCAUGUGGCUGCCCACAAAAAAGUAUGUGCAUGUAUGCCCUGUGCCCCAACCCCAUCCCCAGGACACAGGUCUUGAUUCCUCUACAUCAGCGCCACACAUGGCCACACAGGUGGGCUGUUACUCCUGCUCUAUGUUUGAACCAGGAUUUUGUAAAGUGCGUGAUACUUUGAUUGACAUUAGGAUUAAGUGCUCCUUUUAAUUUCCAAUUGAAGUUAGGCGUGGCCAUUGGACUUGAGUGGCUUUUAACACUUGAGCUAUCAGCUGCUCCACCUCCUGCCAAACUAGUUCUGCCUUGAGUUUGAUUACUAUUUAUCAACUUUCCUCCUGGCAGAUCUUAUUACUACCUUCAUAGACAACGGUAAUACCCUUCUCCUAUUUUCUCCACCUUCAACCCAAUUCACAAAAAGCAGCCAGAUUUAUGACUCCUCAAGUUUAUCUAAAUACACACAGGCCUGCUUCGAAUCCUUGUUCUUAAUGGCUCUUCACUGACUAAAAAGGUAUGUUAGGCGUUACCCCCUCACCUGAUAUCCAGUGCCCUUCUUGAUAUUUUCCUGAUGUUUUUCCUAAGAAUGUUCCCCACGUAGUAGCUGGAUUGAUUAAUGAUUCUUAAAUAAGCUUGUCUUUGUGCCUUUAUCCCUGUUCCUUUGUCCUUCUGAAACGAUCCAGCCCUUUACAUAAAAUAGUCCCAUUCUUCAAGGCCACCACAAACCCCAUUCCUUUAUGCAAUCAUUGUUAUUUGCUAAAUAGCAAUGAAAGGAAUGGGGUUAAUGAACAUUUAUGAAGCACUUAAGAUAUGCCAGGCACUGGUUCAAGCACAUCACAGACAUUACAUGUCAUUUAUUCCUAACAGAAACAACUUAUGAUUGCCUGGAUUUUACAAAUGGGGGGGGGAUGUUUUAAAAGUUAGAUUUCUUGUUCAAUAUGUUAGAAUUAUGAAGAAGUGAAGCAGGACUCAACUCCAGGCAGUCUGAGUCCAGGGCUCAUACCUUUAAACCAUCCUUCCAUGCCACUGCACCCAACUCGUAUCACUUGACUGACUCGUGGUGCUGGCUUUAUUCCAUCUCGUUCAUGUAUUACAAUGACCGUUCACGAUUUGUCUUCCCUUCCCCUACUAUGGAUAUUGCAUUCAUUACUAUUUCUUCCCUAUUCAUUUAUAUUCUAUCUCUUUUAUUUAUUAUAUUAUUAUUAUUCAUUUAUAUACUAUCUCUUCCCUAUUCAUCUAUAGCCUGCACAGUACCUGAACUUCAGAGGGGGACCUUCAACUCGUAGGAAGAGGCUGUCAGUGUAGACGUUGUGAAUGAAAGAGGGAAUCUGCUCCAUCCUCAGAGGUCUGUGCCCAAGAGCAGGGACUGGCUAAAUGUCAUUCUGAACACACCCCUCAGUCCUAGAGAAACACCUACCUGCACAGGCAGGUAGUCAGGGAGCUAACAUCCUGUAGCCAGGCAGAACUCAGAGCCAAGCUGCAGGGGGCUGCAUUUUCAAACUAGCUCUUUUUUUUUUUUUUCACCUUUGUCCAAAGGGACUGUGAAGGGAUAUUAGUAAAUGCACUCCAGAACAAGAGACAUGAUGUGGUUUGCCUCAGGAAAAAAGUGUGUGGCCUGGAGGAAGCCAGCCAAACCUCAGGCUGAGGCAGAUCUGUCUAGAAACUGGAGCAAGGAGAAUACAGAUGCAGAAAUUGGGGUGGACAGGAUGGCCUGCCAGUGGUUUUCGUUCAUACUCUAGCUUAUCAGCCAGGAUCCUGGCACCCACAAGUUGGGUGCUUUUAGGAAAGUGUAAUAAAGGGACUCUUCUCAAGAGUGUGGCAGGGUUAGGGGAGCCAUGGGGUUUGGGAACCUAAAGACAGAGAAGCUGUUGGACAGAAUCGGUGACCUUCAGUGAGGCACAUGGUCAGCCCAUGGCAACUUGGAGUGAGGUUCUCCCUGCCUCAUCAUUCUCUUUCUCGCUAAUGUUUCCCCAGUGGCUAAACCUAACCAAAGGCCGAAGGCAAGAAAGUCCACUGAUGUUAUACACAGAGAUUAACCUCUCGAGGGCAGGGCAGGUGGAGGGUGGGCCCAGAGAGUGGGCAAGAGGAGACAGUCAAGUACGAGUCAUGUUCUAGCCUCAGUGACCUGUCAACAAAUUAUAGUCUCUCAGACCAUGAUAUAUAUAGACUGAACUAUGUCCCCACUCCUGCCCAAAUGCAAAUGUUGAAACCAAUGUAACUGUUUUAGUGCGGCAAUUCAGGUGAAAUGAGAUCAUAAGGGUGGGGCUUCCACCAAUAUGAUUGGUUUCAUUUCAAAAAGAGGAAGAGACAUCUGGAUGUAUGUGUACAGAAAAAAGACCAUGUGAAGACACAGGGUAAGCUGAGCAAAUCAGGAAGAGAUGUCUCAGGAGAAACAGAGCCUGCUGACACCUGGAUCUUAGGCUUCUAGCCUCCAGAAGUGUGAGAAAACUAAUUCCUGCUAUUUAAGCCACCCAGUCAGUGGUGUUUUGUUACAUCAACCCUGUGUGACUAAUACUGAAUAAGAGGAACCCUUAGAGAUCAUUUCAUUUGACAUUUAAUUCAUAGAAGAGGAAUCUGAGCAGUAAUAAAGAAGGUGCUUUUUCCAAGACCUCAUAGUGAUUUAGGGGGAGAGUUUUGACAAGAACCCAAAAGGACAGACUCCUAGGCCAACACCUCCUGUGAUACCCAGAAACUCUGAUCCAUGGUCAUGAGUUAAACCCAAAUUGCUGAGGUAUUUUGCCAGGCUGUAUCCAGCCUAAUAUUUUAACUGAACUCAUUUCUACUUUGGAAAAAAUCAGAUGUGUUAGUCAACUUUCCAUCACUGUGACAAAAUGCCUGAGCUAAACAAUUUAAAAGGAGUAAAGGUUUAUUUUGGCUCAUAGCUUCAGAGGCUUCACUGCAUGGUCAGUUGUUUUCCCCAUUUAUGGACCUGUGGCAAGGCAAAGCAUCAUGAAGGGGGGCACAUGGUGGAGCUGCUCACCUCAUGGUGCCCAGGAAGCAAAAAGAGAAAGAGAGAGGGAAGAGAAGCUGGGGUCCCAAAAAGCUCUUCAAUGACCUAACUUCCUUCCACUAGGCUCCAUCACUUCUCAAUUGCACUGCAGGGUGGCAACCAAGUUGUUAGCACAUCAGCCUUUGGAGGACAUUCAAGAUCCAAUCCAUAGCAGAAGAUUUCACAUUAAUAUACAGAUGUAUGGAGAUUCCUUAGAAAACUUGGAAUGGAACCACCAUUUGACCCAGCCAUCCCACUCCUAAGUCUAUACCCAAAGGACUUAAAAUCAGCAUACUACAGUGACACAGCCACAUCAAUUCACAAUAGCUAAACUAUGGAAGCAAUCCAGAUGCUCUUCAAUAGAUGAAUGGAUAAAGAAACUGUGGUAUUUAUACACAAUGGAAUAUUACUCAGCAUUAAAAGAGAAUAAAAUUAUGGCAUUUUCAGGUAAAUGGAUGGGGUUGGAGAAUAUCAUGCUAAGUGAAAUUAGCCAAUCCCCAAAAACCAAAGGCUGGCCGAAU
rnacentral:lncRNA from 1 species